rnacentral:rRNA from 1 species
UGGGGAAUCUUGCACAAUGGGGGCAACCCUGAUGCAGCGACGCCGCGUGAGCGAUGAAGGUUUUCGAAUCGUAAAGCUCUGUCCUAUGGGAAGAUAAUGACGGUACCAUAGGAGGAAGCCCCGGCUAACUACGUUCCAGCAGCCGCGGUAAUACGUAGGGGGCGAGCGUUGUCCGGAAUUACUGGGCGUAAAGGGUUCGCAGGCGGCAUGGCAAGUCCGAUGUAAAAGGCGAAGGCUCAACCUUCGUAAGCAUCGGAAACUGUCAAGCUUGAGUGAAGGAGAGGCAAGUGGAAUUCCUAGUGUAGCGGUGGAAUGCGUAGAUAUUAGGAGGAAUACCGGUGGCGAAGGCGACUUGCUGGACUUCAACUGACGCUGAGGAACGAAAGCGUGGGUAGCAAACAGG